CUUUAUUCUGAAAAUUUCCCUAAAUUAUUUCCUUCGAGUUAUUGAACAAAAUCUCUCUCACACUAUCUUCAUUCUAGAAAUUAUUCUCUCACUUAUCUUCGUCUCUUCAGGAACCAAAUGAACAACCAAUUAUAGCUAUUAAAACUAAUGUAAUGGCUGCUCAAGGUGUUGGCGAAGUUGUAAUUGAAGGUCCUAACAACCUUGGUAUUCCAAAGGCUCAACUUGAGCCCUAUAAGAUAUUUUUACAGCAACAAAUUGAGGUAUUCGAGAUUGACUAUGCAAAGGCUUUGAAGUCGGCUUUGAUAUCAGAAACUUCAUACAUACGGGGGCUCUUCAUGAACUAUGAUUGGCCAUGAAGGUUCAAACAUGAUUGGCAUCACGCAAAAACGAACAUGUUAGUCAAAUGUCUCUUGUCGAUUUGUUUUCUUGAAGUCAAUUACAUCUUUGUUUGUGGCAUAGCCUGUGAAAUGCCACGACUUAGUCUAUUGUAUUUAGUUGUUCAGCCGAAAAUUUCAAG